CGUGGCUCGUCUCAAAGCGCAGAAUGCAUCCGAUGAGCUCGACUCGUGGGAACCGUGGCUACUUGCGCCCGGAAGGAUUGACUUUGGCCAAGAGGUGAGAGGUCAGGGGUUGCCGUCGAGGAGGAAGAGAAGAAGAAAAAGAAGAAGAAGAAGAAGAAGAAGGGUGGAGAGAAAGAGCAAACGAUCCCCUGGGUGCGCGUUUAAACCUUUUCACGGGCAUUUCCGUGGAAGCCACUUUUGUCCUGCUCCGACAAAUUCGAACUAUGCGAGUUUCUUUUCCCUCGAAACCCCUCGAAACACUCUGCAUAAAGUCGAAACUGAGAUGCUUGGAAAUUUCGAAAGAAUUUCGAGACACUGAAUUAUAAAGCAGUUGGUAUUAUUUUGUGGACGAAAUUAUUAAUAAUUUAACAAAAGUGUAGUAAGACAUGUUGAAAUAUUAAUUAUUAACACUAGAUUUACGGAUAUUGAUUAUAUAGGGGUGACCGGGGCUAGUUAAGAUAAACGCUAAUUGAUAUAUUUUAAUUUUUAAAAAUACCUCUUCUCGUAUAAAAUAAAAAACGCGUCAGCAUAUGUUGCACGGUGACGUGUGCAACUUCACUUUAGAAAUUUCUCAUUAUAUAUCGUAUUUUGGAUAUGGUUCAUGGACAUUUUAAGAUUUCUGCCAAUGAAAGUUAAAAAAAAAAUGUUUGAGUUUGAAUGAACAUAUCUCGUAUAUCGUUCGAGGAGGGGCAUGUUGAUACAUGUGAUUUGGGGCACAUUGAGACAGCGUAUCAACAUGCCCCUGGGUACCAAUUUAUUUAUAAUUUCUUUUUUUCAAUAAGUUGUAAAACGAAAUAAUGGGAAAAAAAGAAAAUCUGCUAUAUUGACGGACACUCCUGAAAAAGAAGCCUUUAGUCACGAAGAACAAAAAAAGAUGUUAAAAAAACUGAAAUUGAGAAAAAAGGUAUAAGGAAAGGACUUACGUCCCAAUUUUGUAAUAAAAAUAACAAAAAUAAAAA